AAUAGCUGCAGUAUUAAAGACUGUACAAAGGUAGCAUAAUAAUUAGUUUUUUAAUUAAAAACUAGAAUGAAAGAUUUAAUGAAAUAUAAACUGUCUCAAAUUUAAUAAAUAAAUUUUUUUUUUAAAUAAAAAAAUUUAAAUUUUAUUUAAAGACGAGAAGACCCUAUAGAAUUUUUAUUAUUUUUAUAUUAUAAAUAUAAAUAUAAUUUUAAUUGGGGAAAUUUUAAAAUUUAAAAAAUUUUUAAUUAAAUAAACAAUUAUGUUUGAAUAAAAAUAUAUUUUUUAAUAAAUAAAUUUAAAUUACCUUAGGGAUAACAGCAUAAUUUUUUUUUGAAGUUCAAAUUUAUAAAAAAGUUUAU
rnacentral:rRNA from 1 species